rnacentral:lncRNA from 1 species
GUGGCUCUGGUGCUACUACUGCUGGUGGAGGUGAUGACUCAUCAAAGAACAAGUCUAAAGGUUGUUGGUCUGCCUUUCGCUUGUCAACAUCAGCUCGAAGAACCUUCAUCUCUUCCUUGGAUGCCCUAGAAUUCCUCAUCUUCUUAUGUUCUCUAGCAAUCUCCUUUAUAGCUUUGCCCUGUGCAUAAACUGCCUUUGUCAAGGCAUCCUGAGUCGCUUAAAUCUUCUCCUGGUUGACCAAGAGCAUCUUAAUGUCUCUGCAAUGGACUGAGGAGUCUGGAGAGUGGCUGGAGCAGACCGAGCCACAACUGUGGUGGCCAAAGUGGACAACUUGGAUGUCGAGACUGACAUCCAGUUGUUCAAACUGGCUAAAGUCUUUGGUAAUUGAUGGGCCAUCAUUUAGGGUUGG